GUGGGGCGAGGUCGUUGGUCUGGUGGAUUCUUCAGCCGGCUGUGAGGGGUUGUGUGAGGAGGAAGCCUUGGUGUGAGGGGCUCUUGGGGAGGGCUCGUUGGUGUGAGGAGAGAGUAACCAGCUGUGAGGGGCUGUGUGGGGAGGGGCAGUUUUAGGGGACAGGUGAGGGGCUGCUGAGGGAUGGGAGAACAGGAGACACCUGGUAUGUGGGGGUGCUGGGCGGAGUUUGGGAAAGAGGGUUUGUGGAAGGCCUAUGUAGGGACACUGAGGGGGCAGAAGAGCCUGAGGGGGAAGCUGGUGAGGAGCUGUUGCUGAGGCCAUUUGGGCUCGGUCAGGGUUGUGAGGGAAUGAGGAAACUGUGGAAAGGUGUGGGGGAACAGAGAGGUGGGGGACUCAGCAUUGCUGUACGUGGGGCCUGGACAUAGGUAGGAAGUGGCCUGGCACAGGUGGGAACUUUUUGGGGGUGGUGUGGCAAAGGGCUGUGGGUUUGGGGCAGGCUGGCUGUGGUGAGGACAUGGAGACAAGUGGAGCUGCCUCUCUGGCCAGGAGCAGCUCAGCUACAGGCGGUGACAAUCCCAGGAGGUGGCAGGUGGCUGCUCUGCUCACCAAAUGCGUGUAUUUCAGCCUGCCCUUGGCCAAGCUGUUUCUGGGGUGUGGCCAAAAGAGGGGGAAAAAAAAUCUCAUGGACUGAGCAUGUGGUCUCCUAAACUGUACUCUUGGCUCUCAGUGGUGGGUGUUGAACUUGGUAGGUUGGUGAGCCUUUGUGUGCUUUGGUAUCUCCAUCUAUGAAGCAGAGAUAACAGUUGGCUUCAUGCAGGGAUUAAUUAUCGCAUCUUGUAGUCACGUAUUUGUUUAUUUGUUUUUGCUAUAGAUUACAGCUGGAGGAAUUCUAAACAGUCCACUUCUCCUUGUCAUGGUGUUUGAGCGCAUUGUGCUCCUGUCUGAACAGAGGAAAUCACUGAGUUUCUGUCUUCUGAAAUAAUAUGGGAGAGACACUUCUGGGGAAAUUAAGGGCAUGUCUGAAAGGGCUGAAGGAGAUUUUACUCUGGUAUGGGUUCAGAAUAUCUGCAAUGGAUAAAGGAUCGGUAAUAUGGAGUCCUUGACUUGAAGAAUGAAUGAUGGAAAGAAGCAGCACAGGAAAGGCCUUGGCUCUGGUCCUUGGAUGGAUGGGUGGCAAAGUUGUCUGUGCCCUCCUGGAAGCUUUGUCCACAAGCAGGAACAGUUACUGUCUCUUGGUUUCUCAAAGCUGCAGCUCCUCACUGGUUCCACAGGCCUGCUUUGUCACAGGGUGUCAGUAACUUUGCAGAACUCACUGUAUCCUCUGCUGUGUUUUGGAUCAACUCUGGCAUCUGUCUGAAUGUAGGGGUCAAAGUCUACUGCAAGCAGUGACCGAUGCAAUUCCCUGUGUAAGUCAGGCUGGACUGCCUGUGCCUCAGGUUCUAACAGCAGGGGAAUUUGUGCAAGAACACCUUGGUAGAUGUUUGUGUGGAUUUCUCUGUGGUCCCUGUGAAGCAGGAGAUCCAGAAUUGUCUGAAAGCCAGGAUUCUUUGAAACCCCAGAGCAGUAAUGAUGAGAGAUGCAGCUGAGGCCAACCUGCUAGCCUGCCUCCCAUGCUGCUUCUUGUAUGUGUCCAAGAAGCUGCCUCCAGUUUAUACGGUUGCACUCUAGUAAACAAUUUUGCAUGCAGAUUUGGGCAGCAGAUGUUACUCAUGCCUAUGUGAACACUUCAGUGUUUUUACAACAGGGAUGAUCCUCAGAUUGAGUUCUUCUAAACAAUGGAUGUAUCCACCAGAAGUCACACUGGUUACAGCCAUUCUCUUACAGCUUGCUCAAAACACUUUGAAGGAUGGGUCACACCAUCCUUCUUUGGCCACUCUAGGGGAUUGACUCACAAAUAUGAGCAAAAUAAAAUUGGAUGGCUUAAGUGGCUGCAGCCCCAGCUGUGUCCCCACUGCCCAAUUCCCAGAAGGUCAUCGCUGCAGCCAGGCUGGCUGUGGAAGGCAACUCCUGAGCUGCUGUAGUGACAGCCCAUUCUUCAGGGUGUUAAUAUUUGUCUGGCUCCUCUGUGAAACAGUUUAGGAAGCUUAACCAGAAUAAAAAUGUGCACUUUUCCAUCUGAAUAAUUAUUUUUUAGUUUAGUUUCUCAGAUGUGCUCUCAGAAGCAGCAGCAUUGCUGUGAGGGCAGGGCAGAGAGAGAUGACCUUCCCUUUUGGGAGCAGCCAUUACAUCAGUUUUGCUGCCUCAUAAAACUAUGCCCUAUGGUUAUUUUUGGUGCUGGACUGCCUUAAUUUUCUGGAGAGUGAAUGAAGAAUUAACAUAGUGUGCUUAUGACAUUUGGAAACAGCUUUUAGAAAAAAAAAUCAUAAUUCAGCAUGUGCUGAGGCUUAAAUUCCUAGGGAUGGGAAAGAUGAGUGUCCAUGGUAUUAUUUCUACAAUUCAGCUAGGGGUUAAAUUUUAAAAAAUUUUUUAGGUUUUGCUGCUGUUUAAGACCUCUAACCUAAUGCCUACUAUCCAGCUGCCUCUAGAGAGGGAAGUCUUUAAAGAGACCAGCUUUGUACCUAUAAAUAAUGUACACAGCAGAGUACAAAAAUGGAGUCAAGGAGAAGCUCCUCCUUACCUGAAUGUAACUGCAGCAGCUCUGUGAGAAUAGCUGUGGUCAGGCUGUGAGCAGCACUCGUACCCUGCCAUCCAUCUUGACUAAACUGCUUCUGAGAACUAAUUCUGGGGUUCUAACUUGAAUAUAAACUGGUAAAUCACAGCUGGCUUUCACUGAAACACAUUAGUUGCAGCAGCCAAACGUAGCAAGGUUUUGAACAGUGUGGUUCUAAUCCUACUUGUAACUGAAGGUCUGCUGGAGUGCUUUGUUAAGUUGGAUGUGUUGGAAUAUGGAGAAUUUUGCAAGCCUGAAUCCCUCCUAUAAAUGAAAACACUGUGGCAAAAAAAUGUAAAUAAAUGCUACGCAUACUUUAAGAGGCCUUUACACUAUUUAUAAAUACAGUAAUUUUGGUGUUUCCUGAUUUUGAGUUCUAAACAGAAGACAGAUACGUGAAAUAUUACAAAGCAAGCAUUUUAUUUUUUUAUGGAUUAAUUUUAUAAUUUCACUUUUUACUUAUCUGAAAACAGUUAGUGGAAACUAAAUGUAGUGUUUUAAAGAA